rnacentral:lncRNA from 1 species
AGUAUAAGAUAUGUCCUUCAUUUCUAGGAACUUUGAGAGUAAUUGAAGAAAAGAGACACAUUCAUGUAAUGGAAAACACCUUCUGAUGAUGUGUGCUGUGAGAGCAGAGAAGAGCAUAAUUAACACUCAGCAUUUGUUAAGGGCUGAACAUGUGCCUAGAGCUUUAUAUCCAGUCCUCACAGUCAUGAUCAGAGUGGCUGGGGAAGUCUCCAUGGAAGAGGUGCUCAGGUGUUUGAAAGUUUUAUUGACAUCAAAUACAAGGAAAUGAUCUGAUACUUUCUCCAGACGGAAUAUGCCAAGACAGAACAU